UGGCGGCGUGCCUAAUACAUGCAAGUCGAACGGUCUUUCUAUGGAAGCUUGCUUCCACUGAGAAGAUAGUGGCGAACGGGUGAGUAACACGUGGGUAACCUGCCCAUAAGAGGGGGAUAACAUCCGGAAACGGGUGCUAAUACCGCAUAGUUUUCUUGAUUGCAUGAUUGAGAAAGGAAAGACGGCCUUUGUGCUGUCGCUUAUGGAUGGACCCGCGGCGUAUUAGUUAGUUGGUGAGGUAACGGCUCACCAAGACGAUGAUACGUAGCCGACCUGAGAGGGUGAUCGGCCACAUUGGGACUGAGACACGGCCCAAACUCCUACGGGAGGCAGCGGUAGGGAAUCUUCCGCAAUGGACGAAAGUCUGACGGAGCAACGCCGCGUGAGUGAAAGAAGGUUUUCGGAUCGUAAAACUCUGUUGUCAGAGAAGAACAAGUUGGAGAGUAACUGCUCCAGCCUUGACGGUAUCUGACCAGAAAGCCACGGCUAACUACGUGCCAGCCGCCGC
rnacentral:rRNA from 1 species